rnacentral:rRNA from 1 species
CCUACGGGAGACAGCAGUAGGGAAUAUUGCUCAAUGGGGGAAACCCUGAAGCAGCAACGCCGCGUGGAGGAUGAAGGCUUUCGGAUUGUAAACUCCUUUUGUUAGAGAAGAUAAUGACGGUAUCUAACGAAUUAGCACCGGCUAACACCGUGCCAGCAGGCGCGGUAAUACGGAGGGUGCAAGCGUUAUUCGGAAUCACUGGGCGUAAAGAGCGCGUAGGCGGGAUAGCAAGUGAGAUGUGAAAUCCUAUGGCUUAACCAUAGAACUGCAUUUGAAACUGUUAUUCUUGAGUAUGGGGGAGGUAGGUGGAAUUCGUGGUGUAGCGGUAAAAUCCGUAGAGAUCAAGAGGAAUACUCAUUGCGAAGGCGACCUGCUAGAGCAUGACUGACGCUGAUGCGCGAAGGCGUGGGGAGCAAACAGGAUUAGAUACCCGUGUAGUC